CCCUUAGAUGUCCUGGGCUGCACGCGCGCUACACUGGAAGUUACGGAUUGAGAUACUACCUUGUCCGAAAUGGUCCGGGUAAUCACCUAAAGGCUUGUCAUAAUUGGAAUGGAUUAUUGUAACUAGUAAUCCUGAACGAGGAAUUCCUAGUAAGUCCCAGUCAACAGCUGGUACUGAUUACGUCCCUGCCCUUUGUACACACCGCCCGUCGCUACUACUGAUUGGACGUUUAAGCAAGAUUUUUAAACACUGACAGUGUGUAGUUCACGCUAUACUACAGUGAGAAGAAGAAGAUCGAGCUUACUUGUCUAGAGGAAGUAAAAGUCGUAACA
rnacentral:rRNA from 1 species